AGAGUUUGAUCCUGGCUCAGGAUGAACGCUAGCGGCAGGCCUAAUACAUGCAAGUCGAACGGUUCAGCAAUGGAUAGUGGCGGACGGGUGCGUAACGCGUAAGCAAUCUACCUAUGAGUGAGGGAUACCGACUGGAAACGGUCGUUAAUACCGCAUGAUGCAGCGGGGCCGGUGGGUCAAUAGUUGUUAAAGCCGCGAGGCGCUUAUAGAUGAGCUUGCGUCUGAUUAGUUAGUUGGCGGGGUAACGGCCCACCAAGACGAUGAUCAGUAACUGGUCUGAGAGGAUGAUCAGUCACACUGGCACUGAGACACGGGCCAGACUCCUACGGGAGGCAGCAGUAGGGAAUAUUGGGCAAUGGGCGGAAGCCUGACCCAGCCAUGCCGCGUGAGGGAUGGAGGCGCUUUGCGUUGUAAACCUCUUUUAAUUGGGACUAAUGAGCUUGUAACUCAAGUUUUUGAAGGUACCAAAGGAAUAAGGACCGGCUAACUACGUGCCAGCAGCCGCGGUAAUACGUAGGGUCCGAGCGUUGUCCGGAUUUACUGGGUUUAAAGGGUGCGUAGGCGGCUGAAUCAGUCGGUGAUGAAAUGCCGGGGCUUAACCUUAGGCGCUGUUACCGAUACUGUUUGGCUUGAGAUAGAAUGAGGCAGCUGGAAUAAGUGGUGUAGCGGUGAAAUGCGUAGAGAUCACUUAGAACACCGAUUGCGAAGGCAGGUUGCUGGUUCUUAUCUGACGCUGA
rnacentral:rRNA from 1 species